GCACCGAUAGCUCAGCUGGAUAGAGCGCCUGACUUCGGAUCAGGAGGCCGGGGGUUCGAAUCCCUCUCGGUGUACCA
rnacentral:tRNA from 1 species